AGGGUCAGAGCCUUUCUCAAACAGUGCAGUUGCAAAACGCCCCUUCCUGGGCUUCCGGCUUGAUGUUGGGGCACUGACAGCUGCAUGUGGCUGAGGCUGACACCCCUGGUCUGCCCCCACCUCCUGCCCAGCCAAGCGGGAGCCGGCCUUGCCGCAUCCCUCCCUCAGCCCUGGGCUGCCUGUGCCAGGUGGGGCUAGACCUCCUGGCUCACCCCCAAGACUCAGCCUCAGGCCAGUUCUAUCCCCUUCCAGAACCACUCCAGACCAGCACCCAGAUCGUGGAACGAGGCUGUUCCCUCUCCAGGAGCCAGGGGCAGGGGGACAGGGAACAGGAGGUGGGGAAAGCUACCAAAGGGAGGGGCACUGGCACCUUCCCCAUCCCCUGGGCACACACAUGGCUGGGAGAGAGUGGCUGUGCAUCUUAGACCCAACAGAGUGGGACCCAGGGAUGGGCCGGAGGGAGCUGGGCCCUCUCUCCCUAGCCCCUCCACAGAGACAUUAAGAUUGUUUUUGUGGGGGGACAGGGGGAUGAGCCCACACGCCUGGGGGUGCCCAUCCACCCUGGUGAGGGCACACAGUGUGGAUCUGAUGGAAUAAAGGGUAGGGGUGGGGGUAACAGGGCAAGUCACAUAGGAAGGGGCCCCUUUUGACCAGGGUGGGUGUGGGACAUGGGGGGUCCCUGUGGGGAGGGAAGGGGAUAUACGGAGUGGGGAGGAGAGAUGGGGGGCCUUGCGACAGAAGCAGGGGAGCGGUGACUGCAAGCUGCUGGGUGCACGGGGGUGGGGCGGGCAGGAGCGGGAGGGAGGCCUUCCAAACCCGGAGGGGACUCGGCCCACAGGGACGACUGGAGUGAGGUUUACACCAGAGGGGCAACAGGGGCCGAGGGGUCCCUUCCUAAGGAGACCACUUGAGGGCUGCUGAACGCCGGAGCCUUACAACUGUUAAACUCAGGCAGAGCUCGGGAAAUGCUGCCCGGAUGGGUGACUGAUGGAGAGGGGCUACCACUCUUCCAGCUAAACUCCGCUCUGGUUGGGACCCAGCAAUUAUUUUCCAUAGCGAAGUGUUAAUAAAAUAUCUGUUACUCCCAACACAACCUCCUGGGGGAAGGGACCUGUCUGUCUGCUUCAACUUUGGAUCCUCAGUGCCCACAUCAGGAUACCUGGCCUGAGAGCAUCCGGUGACCCAGUUUUAGGUCUCAAGGUCACUGCCAAGAAAGAGAAGCUGCUAAAGUGACACCUCUGUGCACCCACAUGACUUAACACAAAAGUUAACAGGAGCUCUUCAAAAACAAGCCUCUCGAGUGUCUGUCUCCUGUUUUCCCUGAGGACAGCAUCAGUGGCAUCAGAUAGGGGUUGGGGCUGGGUGACCUGCUGGUCCUCAGCCAUCACUGUGGCCCAGAGGUCAUUUAAGCAGCUCUCUGCUUAGCAGACAGGCAGAGGGAAUAGAUGGAAGGUACAGGUAAACACUGCAUGUGGCCACCGCGAGGAUACCCCGGAGCCUGGGAAACAGACAGGGACGUCGUAAAACCAACACAUAAUGGACCAGUGCAGAGACAGGCAAAACCAGUCAGAAGAAAUAGGAUGGUGCCUAGCCCAGGGACACCUGACUUAAGAGAGGGUCCUGCCGGUAUUACCCUGGAGGAAGGAAUGCUGCACAGAGGCCGAGAGGAAUUUGAACAGACUGGCCUUGCUGGGUUUUUAUCUCUUUUUGUCCAAUCCCAUUUUGACACAGUUGUCCAUGCUCCAAUCAUGCUUAUCCAAUGAAGUUUCCAUAACAGGCCUGAGAGGACAGGGUUCAGGAGCUUCCGGACAGCUGAGCAGGUGGAGGUUCCUGGAGGGUGGUGUGCCAGGGAGGGUGUGGAAGCUCUGCCCCUUCCCCCAUACCUUGUCCUAUGCAUUCCUUUAUCUGCAUCCUUCAUUUUAUUUUAUUUUUUUUUGAGACGGAGUCUUGCUCUUGUCGUCCAGGCUGGAAUGCAGUGGUGCGCGA
rnacentral:lncRNA from 1 species